GAUUUUUAUGUUGUAGCUUGUUACCGGGCUACAAGAGUCUCAGCAACACUACAACUACUAUGAUAACCAAAAUAAGCAGUAAGUUGACAAUGACUUCCUACUCCCAGCACAUGAGGAAGCAUAUCCAUGCCUAGCUUAGAGAGCAAUUAUAGCUUUUGGAGACCAGCUGGCCCAUCUGUUCCUGGUGCUGCUGCUACUACCAGCAAGGUGGAGUUCAGCUUGGAGGAGCUGCUCAGGCUUUUUCUUGGGCCUGUCUCCCAUGCCCAGUUGAGCCCCUGACACCUCUGGCACCGCCUCUGAUGUUCCAGGCUGUACAAACAGGCUACAGGGGAAAAAAGGAACUGCUUAAUAUGCUGUGAGAGCUCCUUGCACUAUGGAUCACUGUGAAGGGAAGCACAGUCCUGAGGGCAGCAGCUCCUGUUUGCAGCAUACAGAGUCCUUGAUUGAUCUUGGCCACAAGGAUGAUUCAGAGUGAAACUGCAAAGCAGAGCAAAACCUUUUUUCUGCCUUCUGCAACUCAGAUGCAGAUGGAUGUUAUUAGAAAGGUUUUUACUUCGAAUGUGCGCGGCUUGUCCACAUGGCUGAGAUUAGUGCUCAAUACUCAUAUAAUGCUUUUCAUCCUCAAAAGGACUUUACAAGCUCCAGCCCUCAAAACACCCCUACAAGAUAAUUUUUUUUUCAAGGAGUAA
rnacentral:lncRNA from 13 species